AGGCCAGCUGCAGCCUGGCUCUGAGGGCGAGGCUGGGCUCCUGUCCCAACCACAACUCUCUCUGCCUCGUCGUGUUGUUCUUCCUCCGUGGGGUUUUUUCCCCGUUUCUUCGGGUUUUCGGCUCCAGGUUCGGCUUCUUCUCGGCCGCCGCGGACCUCCGCAGGCGCGCUCCCGCCCCGCAGAGCGCGCGGCUCCGGUUCGGGUCAUUUCAGGUUAGAGCCCGGCUCCGGCUCAGCUUGGCCCGCGGAGAGCAGCGGUGGAUCCCGCUCCGCCCCUAGGACACCGAGGGGGUUCUGGAUCCGGGCUCGGUUCUGCAUGUUCGGUGUUCCUGCCGGGGGCUCCGCUGGUCCUCAGCGCCGCUCAGACCUCAGCUCUUCCUCUGGUUCCCAGAUGUCUGAGGAGGCUCUGAGGAUGUCAUCGUGGCCCUGAAGCCCAGCAGUAUGUCAGUUACAGAGCCUGCAGAGAAUUGCUCCCCCUGCUGGAAAGAUGAGGCUGGUCAAAACGGUAAUG